rnacentral:rRNA from 1 species
AGUGAACGCUGGCGGUAGGCCUAACACAUGCAAGUCGAACGGCAGCACAGUAAGAGCUUGCUCUUACGGGUGGCGAGUGGCGGACGGGUGAGGAAUACAUCGGAAUCUACUUUUUCGUGGGGGAUAACGUAGGGAAACUUACGCUAAUACCGCAUACGACCUACGGGUGAAAGCAGGGGAUCUUCGGACCUUGCGCGAUUGAAUGAGCCGAUGUCGGAUUAGCUAGUUGGCGGGGUAAAGGCCCACCAAGGCGACGAUCCGUAGCUGGUCUGAGAGGAUGAUCAGCCACACUGGAACUGAGGCACGGUCCAGACUCCUACGGGAGGCAGCAGUGGGGAAUAUUGGACAAUGGGCGCAAGCCUGAUCCAGCCAUACCGCGUGGGUGAAGAAGGCCUUCGGGUUGUAAAGCCCUUUUGUUGGGUAAGAAAAGCAGCAGGUUAAUACCCCGCUGUUCUGACGGUACCCAAAGAAUAAGCACCGGCUAACUUCGUG